rnacentral:rRNA from 2 species
UACGGAGGGUGCAAGCGUUGUCCGGAUUUAUUGGGUUUAAAGGGUGCGUAGGCGGCCCGUUAAGUCAGUGGUGAAAUCCCAGGGCUCAACCCUGGAACUGCCAUUGAUACUGACGGGCUUGAGUUCGGUUAAGGCGGGCGGAACUGGUGGUGUAGCGGUGAAAUGCAUAGAUACCACCAAGAACCCCGAUUGCGUAGGCAGCUCGCUGAGCCGAAACUGACGCUGAGGCACGAAAGCGUGGGGAGCGAACAGG